rnacentral:lncRNA from 1 species
AUAGCAUUGAGUCACAAUCACAUUGUAAUCCCAUCGGAAAGUAAUAUCCCAAACUCUUUUAGGAAGAGCUUUAUAGACCUGUCCUCUAACAUAUCCAUCUGCUAUUCUCGACACAUGCUGGACAUCUUUGAAUCUCAAAAUAAUCAAGAUUCAGAUCUCACCAUGUCAUAUCUCAUAUGGUGUGGUAGGAAUAGAUUUAGAGAGAACCCAAUUUCAUAAAAAUAAAGCAUGUUCCUAGAGAAAAAAAAUAAAUCAGUGAAUUUCAUUAUGGACCAGAUCAUAUCUCAUAUAGUCCCAUGACUCUUUUUAUCUCAUUGAGCUAAGAU